AACUGAUUAAAUCCUUUUGUCUGCUGCAGGAAAACAAAGGAUUGAUGAUGGCAGCAAGAUGCACCGCCAUGGAAGUCACCAAAAACCGGGGCAGAAAAUUUUCUGCCGAUUGUCGAAAAUUUUCUCGGAAGAACGGGGAAACAAUUUCAAUACAUUUAAGUUCUAGGUCGCCCACCAGUACAAUGCGGGAAUACUUUUUAGUUCUAGGUCACCCACCAGUAUAAUGCGGGAAACUACUUUUAAGUUCUAGGUCACCCACCAGUAUAAUGCGGGAAUACUUUUUAGUUCUAGGUCACCCACCAGUAUAAUGCGGGAAUACAUUUAAGUUCUAGGUCACCCACCAGUAUAAUGCGGGAAUACUUUUAAGUCCUAGGUCGCCCACCAGUACAAUGCGGGAAUACAUUUAAGUUCUAGGUCGCCCACCAGUAUAAUGCGGGAAUAUAUUUAAGUUCUAGGUCACCCACCAGUAUAAUGAGGGAAUACUUUUAAGUUCUAGGUCACCCACCAGUAUAAUGCGGGAAUACUUUUAAGUCCUAGGUCGCCCACCAGUACAAUGCGGGAAUACUUUUAAAGU
rnacentral:lncRNA from 1 species